rnacentral:tRNA from 1 species
GCCCUCGUCGUUCAACGGAUAGGACAGGCGUUUCCUAAAUGCAAAAUGGGGGUUCGAUUCCCUCCGGGGGCACCA